rnacentral:rRNA from 1 species
CGCUAUCACUCCUACGGGAGGCAGCAGUAGGGAAUCUUCCACAAUGGGCGCAAGCCUGAUGGAGCAACACCGCGUGAGUGAAGAAGGGUUUCGGCUCAUAAAGCUCUGUUGUUAAAGAAGAACACGUAUGAGAGUAACUGUUCAUACGUUGACGGUAUUUAACCAGAAAGUCACGGCUAACUACGUGCCAGCAGCCGCGGUAAUACGUAGGUGGCAAGCGUUAUCCGGAUUUAUUGGGCGUAAAGAGAGUGCAGGCGGUUUUCUAAGUCUGAUGUGAAAGCCUUCGGCUUAACCGGAGAAGUGCAUCGGAGACUGGAUAACUUGAGUGCAGAAGAGGGUAGUGGAACUCCAUGUGUAGCGGUGGAAUGCGUAGAUAUAUGGAAGAACACCAGUGGCGAAGGCGGCUACCUGGUCUGCAACUGACGCUGAGACUCGAAAGCAUGGGUAGCGAACAGGAUUAGAUACCCUGGUAG